AAAGAUUCAAGGGGAUCGAAACUUCAGACAUAGCAAAGGCAAAUUCUCGAAGUAGAAGUUCAAUGGAUUGCAUGGAAGCUUGAGAUUUGAAGAUCUUGGUGAUCAUACUUUGUAAACAUUUUUCAUCAUAGUGGAAAACCAUGAUAGAGACGUUUUCUAUCACGAAGAAAGGACGUACCCCGAAGCGAGGACGGGAGGGGGAACCUCUAUAAAUCUCAGUGUUCUUCUCUUCCAUAUCCUUUUAAUUUUUGCAUUAUAAUUGUAUCUGAAUUCAUUGUGUGAAGUUUUUUUUAUUUGAUUGUGAUUUCACUAUUUUACAUUACCUAAUCUCGAUUACUUCAAUUGAGAUUCUUUUAAUUCAAUUAUCUCACAAUCGAAGUUGAAAGUAAGCUUUAAACAAUUGAUUCAUAUACCGUGUGUCCAUU
rnacentral:lncRNA from 1 species